AUGCUUGCCGCCGGCAUCAUCCGCAUCUCCGCGUCACCAUUCACAGCGCCGGUCCUCCUCGUUCACAAGUCGGAUGGCACGUGGCAUUUCUGCAUCGACUACCGCGCCCUUAAUGCUCUCACAUUGAAGGACAAGUUUCCUAUUCCGGUGGUCGAUGAGCUUCUCGACGAGCUGCGCGGGGUGCACUUCUUCACCAAGCUGGAUCUCUGGUCCGGGUAUCAUCAGGUGCGCAUGCACCCGGAUGACAUCGCCAAGACGGCAUUUCGGACUCACCAUGGCCACUUUGAGUUCUUGGUGAUGCCCUUUGGCCUCCCAACGCCCCGGCGACCUUUCAGGCCUUGA
rnacentral:rRNA from 1 species